UUUUCACUAAAAAGCCAAAAAUCUUUGUAUCAGACCAUUCUCUCUGCAAGAAAAGUUAAUUGCAAGAGCCUUUUUGUGCUCAGAUUUGUUGUAUCAUGUCACAUGAGUAUAGAAAUGAAAAAAAAAGACAAUCGGUCAUUAAUGUAAAUGGACUAAAAGUAUGACUUUUGCGCAAAUUUAAAGGGAAAUGACGGGGAAGGGGCA
rnacentral:lncRNA from 1 species